rnacentral:tRNA from 1 species
UCCCAGGUGGCUUAGCAGUAAAGAAUCUGCCUGCCAAGCAGGAGACAUGGGUUUGAUCCCUGGGUUGGGAA